rnacentral:rRNA from 1 species
CAAGGUUUCCGUAGGUGAACCUGCGGAAGGAUCAUUACUGUAAGAUAUCUAGGGUUUUAGAGACUGCGUUAAAAAUACGUGUGCUCGACCCUUCCUCUUUCAUCCACACACCUCUGUGCACUAUGGGGACGCAAGUCCCCCAUUUAUAAAAACCAAGUUAUAUGCAUGUUUUUGUGAUACUCUACGGAGUUAUAUACAACUUUCAACAACGGAUCUCUUGGCUUUCGCAUCGAUGAAGAACGCAGCGAACGUGCGAAACGUAAUGUGAAUUGCAGAAUUCAGUGAAUCAUCGAAUCUUUGAACGCAUCUUGCGCUCCUUGGCAUUCCGAGGAGCAUGCCUGUUUGAGUGUCGUGAAAUACGUCAAUUUCAAUCUUUUUGUUUGAAAUUGGAUUUGGACAUUGCUGUGGACUUUCUUCAGCUCGUCCUAAAUACAUUAGCGAAUCUGCCUUGAUCACGCACAAUGUGAUAAGAAAAAACAUUGUUAGUAUCAAAUAGAGUCGCUUCUAAUCGUCGAGAGACACAUCACAUGUCAUUUGACCUCAAAUCAGGGUAGGGCUACCCCGCUGAACUUAAGCA